rnacentral:misc_RNA from 1 species
UGGCGGUGGUGGAAUGAACAUGGGUGUUAUUCUUCUUCUUCCGUCGGAGGUUCUCGUUUCAAUUUGUUUGUUGAUAGGCCUUUUUGCAGGUGUUGUCGGAGUUGACGAAGGAGGUGGGGCAGUAUUAUUUGGAACCGUCGAGCUUGUAUUUCUUCCCUGACCAAACAGCAGCCAUUUUUGAAUUUGAUAAGUUAAACUUAAUCUCGAGAGUGAGAACCAGUAGAUUUUCACAACGAGGUGAUACUGACUUGAUCCGAGCUUGUCAAUCGAACUUUAUAGGACCCCUCUAAUAAGCGGAACAUUUUUUUUAUCCUUAGACAGUCGGUAGGCUACGAUUGGUCAACAGGGAUUGAGU